CCUACGGGAGGCAGCAGUGGGGAAUAUUGGGCAAUGGGCGCAAGCCUGACCCAGCAACGCAGCGUGAAGGAAGAAGGCUCUCGGGUUGUUAACCUCUUUUUUGAGGGACGAAGAAAGCGACGGUACCUCAGGAAUAAGCCUAGGCUAACUACGUGCCAGCAGCCGCGGUAAUACGUAGGUGGCAAGCGUUAUCCGGAUUUAUUGGGUGUAAGGGGCGUGUAGGCGGGAAAGCAAGUCAGAUGUGAAAAUUCAGGGCUCAACCCUGAGACUGCAUUUGAAACUGUUUUUCUUGAGUGCUGGAGAGGCAAUCGGAAUUCCGGGUGUAGCGGUGAAAUGCGUAGAUAUACGGAGGAACACCAGUUGCGAAGGCAGAUUGCUGGACAGUAACUGACGCUGAGGCGCGAAAGCGUGGGGAGCAAACAGGAUUAGAUACCCCAGUAGUC
rnacentral:rRNA from 1 species